ACGCUCGACACCUACUGGAGGCAGCAGUGGGGAAUAUUGCACAAUGGGGGAAACCCUGAUGCAGCGACGCCGCGUGAGUGAAGAAGUAUUUCGGUAUGUAAAGCUCUAUCAGCAGGGAAGAAAAUGACGGUACCUGAGUAAGAAGCCCCGGCUAACUACGUGCCAGCAGCGUAGCGGUAAUCUGGAGGCGGGGCCGUAGGGCAAGGC
rnacentral:rRNA from 1 species